rnacentral:rRNA from 1 species
CAGCCGCCGCGGUAAUACGUAGGUGGCAAGCGUUGUCCGGAAUUAUUGGGCGUAAAGCGCGCGCAGGCGGUCUUUUAAGUCUGAUGUGAAAGCCCCCGGCUCAACCGGGGAGGGUCAUUGGAAACUGGGAGACUUGAGUACAGAAGAGGAGAGUGGAAUUCCACGUGUAGCGGUGAAAUGCGUAGAUAUGUGGAGGAACACCAGUGGCGAAGGCGACUCUCUGGUCUGUAACUGACGCUGAGGCGCGAAAGCGUGGGGAGCAAACAGGAUUAGAUACCCUGGUAGUCCACGCCGUAAACGAUGAGUGCUAGGUGUUAGGGGUUUCGAUGCCCUUAGUGCCGAAGUUAACACAUUAAGCACUCCGCCUGGGGAGUACGACCGCAAGGUUGAAACUUAAAGGAAUUGGCGGG